UACGUAGGGUGCAAGCGUUAAUCGGAAUUACUGGGCGUAAAGCGUGCGCAGGCGGCUUUGCAAGACAGAUGUGAAAUCCCCGGGCUUAACCUGGGAACUGCAUUUGUGACUGCAUGGCUGGAGUGUGGCAGAGGGGGAUGGAAUUCCGCGUGUAGCAGUGAAAUGCGUAGAUAUGCGGAGGAACACCGAUGGCGAAGGCAAUCCUCUGGGCCUGCACUGACGCUCAUGCACGAAAGCGUGGGGAGCAAACAGG
rnacentral:rRNA from 1 species